CUACGGGAGGCAGCAGUAGGGAAUCUUCGGCAAUGGACGGAAGUCUGACCGAGCAACGCCGCGUGAGUGAAGAAGGUUUUCGGAUCGUAAAGCUUUGUUGUAAGAGAAGAACGAGUGUGAGAGUGGAAAGUUCACACUGUGACGGUAUCUUACCAGAAAGGGACGGCUAACUACGUGCCAGCAGCCGCGGUAAUACGUAGGUCCCGAGCGUUGUCCGGAUUUAUUGGGCGUAAAGCGAGCGCAGGCGGUUAGAUAAGUCUGAAGUUAAAGGCUGUGGCUUAACCAUAGUACGCUUUGGAAACUGUUUAACUUGAGUGCAAGAGGGGAGAGUGGAAUUCCAUGUGUAGCGGUGAAAUGCGUAGAUAUAUGGAGGAACACCGGUGGCGAAAGCGGCUCUCUGGCUUGUAACUGACGCUGAGGCUCGAAAGCGUGGGGAGCAAACAGGAUUAGAUACCCUGGUAGUCCACGCCGUAAACGAUGAGUGCUAGGUGUUAGACCCUUUCCGGGGUUUAGUGCCGCAGCUAACGCAUUAAGCACUCCGCCUGGGGAGUACGACCGCAAGGUUGAAACUCAAAGGAAUUGACG
rnacentral:rRNA from 1 species